rnacentral:rRNA from 1 species
GACGAACCGUGCGAACGUUAUUCGGAUCACUGGGCUUAAAGCGCGUGUAGGCGGGUCGGCGCGUCGGACGCGUGAAAUCCCCCGGCUCAACCGGGGAAGGGGCGCCGAUACGGCCGGCCUGGAGGGACGUAGGGGGGCUGGAACGUUCCGGUGGAGCGGUGAAAUGCGUUGAGAUCGGAAGGAACGCCCGUGGCGAAAGCGAGCCCCUGGACGCUACUGACGCUGAGACGCGAAAGCCAGGGGAGCGAACGGG